rnacentral:siRNA from 1 species
GAGCUUGUGUGGAUUACGUAAGCG